rnacentral:rRNA from 1 species
UACCCUGGUAGUCCAUGCCGUAAACGGUGGGCGCUAGGUGUAGGGGACUUCCACGUCUUCUGUGCCGCAGCUAACGCAUUAAGCGCCCCGCCUGGGGAGUACGGCCGCAAGGCUAAAACUCAAAGGAAUUGACGGGGGCCCGCACAAGCGGCGGAGCAUGUGGAUUAAUUCGAUGCAACGCGAAGAACCUUACCUGGGCUUGACAUACACCAGAUCGCUGCAGAGAUGUAGCUUCCCUUGUGGCUGGUGUACAGGUGGUGCAUGGUUGUCGUCAGCUCGUGUCGUGAGAUGU